rnacentral:rRNA from 1 species
CCUACGGGUGGCUGCAGUGGGGGAUAUUGCACAAUGGGGGGAACCCUGAUGCAGCGACGCCGCGUGGGUGAAGGAGCGCUUCGGCGCGUUAAGCCCUAUCGGCAGGGAAGAAGGAGGACGGUACCUGACUAAGAAGCACCGGCUAACUACGUGCCAGCAGCCGCGGUACUACGUAGGGGGCCAGCGUUAUCCGGAUUUACUGGGUGUAAAGGGGGCGCAGACGGGAGCGCGAGCCAGGAGGGAAAGCUCGGGGCCCAACCCCGGGACUGCUCUUGGAACUGGGCGGCUGGAGUGCAGGAGGGGCAGGCGGAAUGCCUGGUGUAGCGGUGAAAUGCGUAGAUAUCAGGAGGAACACCGGUGGCGAAGGCGGCCUGCUGGACUGCGACUGACGUUGAGGCCCGAAAGCGUGGGGAGCAAACAGGAUUAGAUACCCGGGUAGUC